CUUCGGCGCGGAGGGCGGGCAGCUAGGGGCGGGGCGUGCUUCCUCGUGUUGGGAGGACAGGACCCCGUGGCCCCCACGCCUCGCUCCCGGCUAAUCGCCGGGUCUCCUCGGAAAACCGGAACUUUCUGGCCCCCCGGCGAUUCGAUGCAGGCAGGCACCGAUCGGCCGCUUUCUCCACGUCGGUGAGAGCACUGAGCGCCUCCCUCUGGAGGAUCCAGGUGAGUUUACCGGAAGGUCUGUGUGCAGGAUGGACCUGUGCUGGGUUCCUUCUGCCUCGUGCCGUGUGCCUGAAGUAACAGUUGUUGGGGCUUAGAACUUUCCCGAUUUCUUGGGUUUCCUUUACUCAACCGUGUAACUUUGGCACGCUGACCCUGUUCCUGUUCAUGACCCCGUUUUCUAUGAACCUAAAUAAAUGGGGUUAGCCCCCGAGGAGCAUUUCAUGCA